rnacentral:rRNA from 1 species
AACGAACGCUGGCGGCAUGCCUAACACAUGCAAGUCGAACGAAGGCUUCGGCCUUAGUGGCGCACGGGUGCGUAACGCGUGGGAAUCUGCCCUUGGGUUCGGAAUAACAGUGGGAAACUACUGCUAAUACCGGAUGAUGACGUAAGUCCAAAGAUUUAUCGCCCAGGGAUGAGCCCGCGUAGGAUUAGCUAGUUGGUGGGGUAAAGGCCUACCAAGGCGACGAUCCUUAGCUGGUCUGAGAGGAUGAUCAGCCACACUGGGACUGAGACACGGCCCAGACUCCUACGGGAGGCAGCAGUGGGGAAUAUUGGACAAUGGGCGAAAGCCUGAUCCAGCAAUGCCGCGUGAGUGAUGAAGGCCCUAGGGUUGUAAAGCUCUUUUACCCGGGAAGAUAAUGACUGUACCGGGAGAAUAAGCCCCGGCUAACUCCGUGCCAGCCGCCGCAGUAAAAC